rnacentral:lncRNA from 1 species
AACAGGAGGAAGAACCGGAAGAGGUGGAAGAGUUGGAAUUGUUGGAACCGGUGGGAGAGUUGGUGUUGCCGGGGGAGAAGGAAGUAGCGGAAUCGGUGGUAGAGUUGGUGUUGCUGGAGGAGAGGGAAGUAGGGGAAUUGGAGGGAGAGUUGGGGGAGACGGGAUCAACGGGUUUGGAGGAAGAGUUGGGGUUGGGAUAGAAGGGAUCAGAGGGUUUGGAGGGAUGACGGAUGGCGGGUUUAGCGGGUUUGGAGGAAGGAAGAAGAAAUCGGGUUUUAGCACUUCGGUUUUCUUGUCUUCCAAGGAACCAUAUUUCUUGCUAUGCAAGGAAGCUGAUUUCC